UACGGGGGGGGCAAGCGUUGUUCGGAAUUACUGGGCGUAAAGGGCUCGUAGGUGGCCAACUAAGUCAGACGUGAAAUCCCUCGGCUUAACCGGGGAACUGCGUCUGAUACUGGAUGGCUAGAGAUUGGGAGAGGGAUGCGGAAUUCCAGGUGUAGCGGUGAAAUGCGUAGAUAUCUGGAGGAACACCGGUGGCGAAGGCGGCCAACUGGCCCGAUACUGACGCUGAGGCGCGAAAGCGUGGGGAGCAAACAGG
rnacentral:rRNA from 1 species